rnacentral:rRNA from 1 species
GAUGAACGCUGGCGGCGUGCUUAACACAUGCAAGUCGAACGGGAAACUUUUCAUUGAAGCUUCGGCAGAUUUGGUCUGUUUCUAGUGGCGGACGGGUGAGUAACGCGUGGGUAACCUGCCUUAUACAGGGGGAUAACAACCAGAAAUGGUUGCUAAUACCGCAUAAGCGCACAGGACCGCAUGGUCCGGUGUGAAAAACUCCGGUGGUAUAAGAUGGACCCGCGUUGGAUUAGCUAGUUGGCAGGGUAACGGCCUACCAAGGCGACGAUCCAUAGCCGGCCUGAGAGGGUGAACGGCCACAUUGGGACUGAGACACGGCCCAGACUCCUACGGGAGGCAGCAGUGGGGAAUAUUGCACAAUGGGGGAAACCCUGAUGCAGCGACGCCGCGUGAAGGAAGAAGUAUCUCGGUAUGUAAACUUCCAUCAGCAGGGAAGAUAGUGACGGUACCUGACUAAGAAGCCCCGGCUAACUACGUG